AUUCCCGCCCGGAACGCCGCCGGAAUUCCGAUCCCGCCCGGGCGGGAACAGCAGCAGCGGAAAUCCCGGGAUUCCCGGCCGUUAUUCCCAUUUUUUUGGGGGUUAUUCCCAUUUUUCUGCGGAUUUUUCCCUUUUUUUUUCGCAUUUAUUCCCCAUUUUUUUGGCAUUUAUUCCCAUUUUUUUGGGGGUUAUUCCCAAUUUUCCGCUAAUUUUUCCCUCUUUUUUUGGGCAUUUAUUCCCAUUUUUUUUGGGGGGCUUAUUCCCAAUUUUCUCCUAAUUUUUUCCUUUUUUUUUUUAGUUUUUUCCCAUUUUUUGGGAGGUUAUUCCCAUUUUUCUGCGAAUUUUUCACUGGUUUUUUUUUGCAUUUAUUCCCAUUUUUUUCGGGUGUUAUUCCCAAUUCUCCAAGGGUUUUUCCCACUUUUCCAGGAUUAUUCCCAAUUUUCUGGGUGUUAUUCCCCUUCCUGCACAAUUAUUCCCAGCAUUCCAAUGAUCAUUCCCAAUUUUCCGAGGGCUUUUCCAAUUUUUGCAGCAUCAUUCCCAUUUUUUCCGCAAAUUUUUCACUUUUUUUUGGGGGUUUUUCCCAUUUUUCUGAGAAUUAUCCCAAAUUUUCCAAGGGUUUAUUCCCAAUUUUCUGAAGGUUUUUCCCCAUUUUCCUGAGGAUAUUCCCAUUUUUUUCGGGAUUAUUCCCAAUUUUCCAGGGUAAUUCCCAUUUUUCUGGAUUAUUCCUGAUUUCCUGACGGUUUUUCCC
rnacentral:lncRNA from 1 species